GCCUGGCUGGCUCAGUUGGUAGAGCAUGCGACUCUUGAUCUUGGGGCUGUGAGUUCAAGCCUCAUGCUGGGUG
rnacentral:tRNA from 1 species